rnacentral:lncRNA from 1 species
AAUCCAACACAUCCCAAACCUAGGUGUCACAAGUCACGAGCAUCUAUGAAUAUAUGAAUACAACUACGGAGUCUGGAAUACACAAAAUAGAACUGAUAAGUAAAGGAAGAAAUAUGAUGUUGCGAACGCUGGCAGUCACCUACUCCAAUUAUUUAGCUCCGAUCAGCCCAAAACCCGCUCCCAGGUGAACACAUACCUGCAUCUGCACACGAGGUGCAGGGAUUAAAGUGAGUACUCCAACUCAAUGAGUAAUAAAGGUAAAUAAUAACUGAGCAGUAAGAAAAUCACGUAAGGCAAAUCAUCAUGAUGUAUAGAAGCAGUAUAAAACCCCUUGAGAAAAGCAAUGAAGUUGUGAAAUCUUCAGAAGACGUCUUAACCCAGUUUAAACCUCUCUUAAAAAUGACUUUUCAACAGUUAUGCAAAUGAAUGCGAAAUAAUUUGUAUAGAUAAGCAAUCCGCCCCUCGGGCGCAACACUCACUCGAAGGAAAAUGCCAGGCAAUUGGGUAGAUAUCAUAUUAAAUAGCACAACAACAUAUAAUGGCAGACAAAUAAAUAAGUAAAAACAUAAAACGAGUACCGAUACCGCUGCGGCGUGCAGCCCGAUCUGUAUAUCGUUGCAUUGUUAGGCCCAAUCUAUUUAUCGUCAAUGGCGCUUACAGGAGGUGUGCAGACUCCAGGAGGGGUCGCUUACGGCCCAAGCGCAAUAUCAAGACAUCUCGUGGCACUAACUAGUCCCUUGACCUCAUAUCGAUAUCACUAUAAUACAGCUACAGCACGCAGCCCAAUCCUAUACUUAGUCCAUAAAUCACAUAGCCCUCAGGCAAUAACAAAAUAGUGAUUUUAAAAUAGAAAAAAACGGUACAAUUGAGUUAAAGUAGUAAGUCAAACAGUGAGAAAAUAGUGAUGAAAUCCUCUGAGGGUUCAAAUAGUUGGCACGAAGCCCAAUCAAGGCAAUCAAUCCAAAUAAUGAUGAUAGCACAUAAGUUUCAAUCAAAUACAUGAUAAAAACAUCAAUUGGGACGAGCUAAGUCACAAUCUCCAAUAGUAAACGACCUCACGCUCAUCAUCACGCACGUGUCGCGCCUCAAUAUAGCACUAUGAUGUGCACAUCCGGGGUUUCAAAUUCUCAGGAUAUCAUUUACAAUUAUUACUCACCUCGAACAUGCAAAAUCUCUAACUCGCGACGCCUUUUCCCCUCAAUUCGGCCUCCAAACGCAUCGGAUCUAUCUAAAACCCAAACGAAUACGUCACAAUAUACUAAGAAAACAAAUUCCAAUUGAAAAAAAUUGAAAAAAUAUCAAAAAUCACGAAAUUAGCAAAACUCGAGCCCCGGGACCACUUCUCGAAACUCGGCAAUUUUUACAUCAACGGGUUCCUUAUCCCCUUACGAGCUCAUACAUACUAAAAGUUCUAAAAUCUAACCUCAAAUGGUCCGUCUAAUCCAAAUUUAAAAUACAAUUUCUCAAGCCCUAGUUCUUCAAUUUUGGGCUUAGUUUCCAUAAAUUUCUAGGUGGAUUUUCCAAUAAAAUGAGUUUUAGAGUUCAUAAAUCUUACCUCCAAUCGACUACCUUCGAAUCCCUCUUCAAUUCCUUUAUAAGCUCUCAAAAAUUGCCAACAAUGGAGUGAAAAUGAGCUCCAACCCGCGAAUGAAAUGUUUAAAGACCUUCUGCCUAGCUUCUGGAAUCCCUUCUACGCGAACGCGGUCAAACCCCCACGUUCGCAAUGCACAAAUAUUUCCUUAACCAAAAUUACCCUUCGCGAACGCGUCUGCACACCCGCAAACGUGAUGUUUUGGGCCUCUGAACCUACGCAAAUGUAAUACCUUAUACGCGAACGCGAAGAGCAAUGGCUCUUGGAACUUCACGCGCCAAACAUCACUAUGUAAACGCGACCCAUAACACGCGAACGCGAAGCACAACCACAAGAACCCUCCGCGAACGCGAGACGCCAGAUGCAAACACGAAGCACAAACUCUAGGCCACCCAAACUCCUUUUACGUAAAUGCGAGGGCCUUCUCGCGAUCCCGAAGGCAAAAAUCUGCAUGCACCUACUGCUACAUUGUUUUCAAUUCUCCUAAGUCCAAAACUUCCUGUUAACCAUCUGAAAUCACCUCGAGGCCUCCGGGACCUCAACCAAAAGCACCAACACAUCCUAAUAAUCAUCCAAACUUGUUCCAAUCAUCAAAACACCUCAAACAACACCAAAACCAUCAAUUCACAUCGAAUUCAAGCCUAAGUUUUCAAAAAAAUUCCGAAACACGCAUUUGAUCAAAAACCCGACCAAACCACCUUUUUGCACACACGUCCUAAAUUACAUAAAGAAGCAACAGAAACUCUCAAAUUCAAUUCCGACCCUCGUAUCAAAAUCUCACCUAUCAACCGGAAUUCGGUGAAAUACUAACUUCUCCAAUUCAAGCCAAAUUCUACACCGGACCAUCAAAACCACAUCUGAUCACACUCCUAAGUCACAAAUCACCCAACGAAGAUGACCAAAUCAUAGAAUUUUUUAUCCGAGCUUAUAUACAAAUAAGUCAACUCUUGUUCAACCCCUUAAAAAGUCAAAGCUUUCAACUAAGACUGUUUUUUCAAAUUCAUACCAAUUUUCGUAAUCACCAAAACCAAUAAUCUGCAUCAGUCAUAAAACGUCAUAUGGGGCAAGUCAUGCCCAAGAACUGGCGAUCAAAGUGCACAAACUCAAAAGUACCGGUUGAGUCGUUACAUGAAAUUUCAUCUCUCAAACAAAUACUCCUCAGUAAGGAUAUCAUCAUUACGAAUAACAUCAAAGACUAGUUAAAGAAGGAAUCCUAUGUAACAUGUUGGAUCAAACUAGAUUAUGACAUAAUCAGUCCAUACAUUAAUUUAGCAAGUAAAAUUUGAGAGAAAUCUUGACAACACUAGACAUAUACAGUAGAAUCUGAUACUUAACAUAAAAUACAUGUACUCAAGCAUGGAUUAAAUAAAGAUUUUCAUUCAUUCAAUGGAAAAGUAUGGAGGUACAGCCACAUACCUAAAGGCAGAAAAAGAAAAGAAGAAUAGAAGAAGACCAAAUAAGAGGUCAUAAUAACCAGAUCUGGAGCUGAACCAAGCCAUAAAUAAACAGAGCAAUAAACAGCAACAAAUAAAUCCUAGAAGAGAAAUUUUCAACUUCAAACAAUUUUGACUUAUGACAAAUCCAAAAAUUCUCAAAGAAGUUCUUUAUGUUCACUAAAAUCAGAGGAAAAGUAAAUGAAUUUCUCAGAGAAAACAGCUGAACUUUUUUAGGGUUCAAAA